rnacentral:lncRNA from 1 species
CAUGUGUACAAUGGCCAUGACACAAAUAAUAGCUUGCAAGUUUAUAAAAAAUAGAAUACAACAGAAUUGGACAUUAGCAUACACCGUUUUAAUGGUUGCACAUAUAAAUACAAUCUUCCAGCGAAUUUAAGUUGAGUUGCUAGUGUUGUACAUAUAUAUAUGGAGCUAACGGGCGACUAUAUAGCACACACAAGCUGUCAGCUAGCGCCUCCAGCCCAUCCAUUGGUCCCUGCCGCUUGGCAGGUUCCGCAAGCUCCUCUCAACCGCCACCUCCAUGUUCUGCAAUGCACACAAAAAAGUACAAGUAGAACAAGUCUAGUCAAAUCCAUCAUUUGAUGAUUGUAGUUCUAAUCACUAAUGAAACAUGAGAUGGAACAAAGAAGGAAACAAGAUAGCUAGGAGUACCUCAUCGUUUGCACCCUUCUGCUCCACAAGCUAUAACGUGAGCUGCUUCAAAACCUUGAAGUGACAAAUAUCUAGUGGCCACAAUAACACAAGUGAUCCCAUCCACACGUUUCAUUCUAAUUUGUUCAUAAGAAAUAAACAUGAGAAAUGAUUCAUAGAUCAGUACAAAUAUAUAAACGAAGGUCAUUCGACCCUAAAUAACUGUGGCAGGAAUAAAUCAC